GAUGAACGCUAGCUACAGGCUUAACACAUGCAAGUCGAGGGGAAACGGCAUUGAGUGCUUGCACUCUUUGGACGUCGACCGGCGCACGGGUGAGUAACGCGUACCGAACCUGCCCAUCACACAGGGAUAGGCUUGCGAAAGCAAGAUUAAUACCUGAUGGUCUCAGUUGUAUGCAUGUAUGAUUGAGUAAAGCCUUCGGGCGGUGAUGGAUGGCGGUGCGUCCCAUUAGGAAGUUGGCGGGGUAACGGCCCACCAAUCCUUCGAUGGGUAGGGGUUCUGAGAGGAAGGUCCCCCACAUUGGAACUGAGAUACGGUCCAAACUCCUACGGGAGGCAGCAGUGAGGAAUAUUGGUCAAUGGGCGAGAGCCUGAACCAGCCAAGUAGCGUGCGGGAAGAAGGCCCUUGUGGUCGUAAACCGCUUUUAUCAGUGAAUAAAGUGCAUCACGUGUGGUGUCAUUGCAGGUAGCUGAAGAAAAAGGACCGGCUAAUUCCGUGCCAGCAGCCGCGGUAAUACGGAAGGUCCGGGCGUUAUCCGGAAUUAUUGGGUUUAAAGGGAGCGCAGGCGGGAGUGUAAGUCAGCUGUUAAAUAUCAGGGCCCAACUCUGUUAUGCAGUUGAAACUAUAUUUCUUGAGUACGCACAGGGAUGGCGGAAUUCAGGGUGUAGCGGUGAAAUGCUUAGAUAUCCUGAAGAACUCCGAUCGCGAAGGCAGCCAUCCGGAGCGUAACUGACGCUGAGGCUCGAAGGUGCGGGUAUCAAACAGG
rnacentral:rRNA from 1 species